rnacentral:rRNA from 1 species
GUGAAGCGGCAAAAGCUCAAAUUUGAAAUCUGGUACCUUUGGUGCCCGAGUUGUAAUUUGAAGAUAGUUUUCUGGUGCUGGCCCUUGUCUAUGUUCCUUGGAACAGGACGUCACAGAGGGUGAGAAUCCCGUCUGGCGGGGUGUCCAGUGCUUUGUAGAUUUCUAUCGACGAGUCGAGUUGUUUGGGAAUGCAGCUCUAAGUGGGUGGUAAAUUCCAUCUAAAGCUAAAUAUUGGCGAGAGACCGAUAGCGAACAAGUACAGUGAUGGAAAGAUGAAAAGAACUUUGAAAAGAGAGUGAAAAAGUACGUGAAAUUGUUGAAAGGGAAGGGUAUUAGAUCAGACUUGGUGUUUUGUGAUUAUCUUCCCUUCUUGGGUUGUGCACUCGCAUUUCACUGGGCCAGCAUCGGUUCGGGUGGUAAGAUAAUGACAUUGGAACGUGGCACUGCCUUCGGGUGGUGUGUUAUAGCCCUUGUUGAUGUUGCCUACCUGGACCGAGGACUGCGGCUUUUGCCUAGGAUGCUGGCGUAAUGAUCUAACACCGCCC